rnacentral:rRNA from 1 species
GAAAGGCUCAUUAAAUCAGUUAUGGUUCCUUAGAUCGUACCCACAAUUACUUGGAUAACUGUGGUAAUUCUAGAGCUAAUACAUGCAAACAGAGCUCCGACCGGAGACGGAAGGAGUGCUUUUAUUACCGAUCAAAACCAAUCGGUGGCGGGUUCGCCCGUUAUCGUACAACUUGGUGACUCUGAAUAACUUUACGCUGAUCGCACGGUCAUCGCACCGGCGACGCAUCUUUCAAAUGUCUGCCUUAUCAACUGUCGAUGGUAGGUUCUGCGCCUACCAUGGUUGUAACGGGUAACGGGGAAUCAGGGUUCGAUUCCGGAGAGGGAGCCUGAGAAACGGCUACCACAUCCAAGGAAGGCAGCAGGCGCGCAAAUUACCCACUCCCGGCACGGGGAGGUAGUGACGAAAAAUAACGAUACGGGACUCAUCCGAGGCCCCGUAAUCGGAAUGAGUACACUCUAAACCCUUUAACGAGGAUCAAUUGGAGGGCAAGUCUGGUGCC